AAUAGAUACCCGGGUAGUCCACGCAGUAAACGAUGCAGACUAGGCGUGGGGGGACUUGACCCCCUCCGUGCCGCAGCCAACGCGUGAAGUCUGCCGCCUGGGGAGUACGGCCGCAAGGCUAAAACUCAAAGGAAUUGACGGGGGCCCGCACAAGCGGCGGAGCGUGCGGUUUAAUUCGACGCAACGCGCAGAACCUUACCAGGACUUGACAUGCACCUGCAGAGCCGCGAAAGCGGUUGGCCUUCGAGGGUGGUGCACAGGUGCUGCAUGGCCGUCGUCAGCUCGUGUCGUGAGAUGUUGGGUUAAGUCCCGCAACGAGCGCAACCCUCGUGGCUAGUUGUCGAUGUUUCUAGCCAGACUGCCGGUAGCAAGCCGGAGGAAGGUGGGGAUGACGUCAAGUCAGCAUGGCCCUUACGUCCUGGGCUACACGCACGCUACAAUGGCCGGGACAAUGGGCAGCCAAACCGCAAGGUGGAGCGAAUCCCACAACCCGGUCUCAGUUCAGAUCGCGGCUGCAACUCGCCCGCG
rnacentral:rRNA from 1 species